rnacentral:sRNA from 1 species
GAACACCAAGCCUUGAAAACACACAUGCACCGGCACAUGGUCCCGGGUGCCGCUGGCAACGUUUUACGCUGCCAAUGGUCGGAUCCAUGGGGUGCGUGGAGGCCUAACC